CCUACGGGGGGCAGCAGUGGGGAAUAUUGCACAAUGGGGGAAACCCUGAUGCAGCGACGCCGCGUGAGUGAAGAAGUAUUUCGGUACGUAAAGCUCUAUCAGCAGGGAAGAAAAUGACGGUACCUGACUAAGAAGCCCCGGCUAACUACGUGCCAGCAGCCGCGGUCAUACGUAGGGGGCAAGCGUUAUCCGGAUUUACUGGGUGUAAAGGGAGCGUAGACGGCAGCGCAAGUCUGGAGUGAAAUCACAUGGCUUAACCAUGGAACUGCUUUGGAAACUGUGCAGCUGGAGUGCAGGAGAGGUAAGCGGAAUUCCUAGUGUAGCGGUGAAAUGCGUAGAUAUUAGGAGGAACACCAGUGGCGAAGGCGGCUUACUGGACUGUAACUGACGUUGAGGCUCGAAAGCGUGGGGAGCAAACAGGAUUAGAUACCCUUGUAGUC
rnacentral:rRNA from 1 species